GACAGACAGACAGACAGACAGACAGACAGACAGACAGACAGACAGACAGACAGACAGACAGACAGACAGACAGACAGACAGACAGACAGACAGACAGACAGACAGACAGACAGACAGACAGACAGACAGACAGACAGACAGACAGACGCAUUAGACCCAACCAAAUCAUGAGAAAACAAAAAGAUAAUUACUUAACACAUUGGAAAGAAUCAACAAAAAAAACAGAGCAAACUAGAAUGCUAUUUGGCCCUACACUGAGAGUACACAGUGGCGUAAUACCUGACCACUGUGACUGACCCAAAAUUAAGGAAAGCUUUGACUAUGUACAGACUCAGUGAGCAUAGCCUUGCUAUUGAGAAAGGCCGCCGUAGGCAGACAUGGCUCUCAAGAGAAGACAGGCUAUGUGCUCACUGCCCACAAAAUGAGGUGGAAACUGAGCUGCACUUCCUAACCUCCUGCCCAAUGUAUGACCAUAUUAGAGAGACAUAUUUCCCUCAGAUUACACAGAUCCACAAAGAAUUCGGAAAAAAAUCCAAUUUUGAAAAACUCCCAUAUCUACUGGGUGAAAUUCCACAGUGUUCCAUCACAGCAGCAAGAUUUGUGACCUGUUGCCACGAGAAAAGGGCAACCAGUGAAGAACAAACACCAUUGUAAAUACAACCCAUAUUUAUGCUUAUUUAUUUUAUCUUGUGUCCUUUAACCAUUUGUACAUUGUUAAAACACUGUAUAUAUAUAUAUAAUAUGACAUUUGUAAUGUCUUUAUUGUUUUGAAACUUCUGUAUGUGUAAUGUUUACUGUUCAUUUUUAUUGUUUAUUUCACUUUAUAUAUUCACUUUAUAUAUUAUCUACCUCACUUGCUUUGGCAAUGUUAACAUGUUUCCCAUGCCAAUAAAGCCCUUGAAUUGAAUUGAGAGAGACAGAGAGAGAGAGACAGAGACACAGAGAGAGACAGAGACACACAGAGAGAGAGAGAGAGAGAGAGAGAGACAGAGAAGUCAGACAUGAGAAACCUCAGCGCCCUUUAGCCCACAUGUUCUGUGAUCCUCAGCAGACUGAAGUCUGUGUGUUUGUUGCGCUCCGAGUUUGUCACCUCCAGCCCACUGUCUGGUUUCUGUGUUGUUGUCAUGUUAGGAGUAAAAAAAAAAGAGAAAGGUUUCAGCUACCCUGUUCCCCUUUUUCAAGUCUCUGUCUGGACUGAUGUGGGUGUGAUGUUUUAAAGAGAAAAACACAACUCAUGUCUGUCGCUGACCAGCAAAGGAAGAGACGGAGUCUGUCACCUACUUUCUUUUUCAUAUAUCCCUGCUUCUCCUCCCUCUAAUUCUCUCUGUCUCGCUCUCCCUCAGUCCCUCCUUUAGCAGAGGAAGGCAGACUCUCCUUCUCCCUCAGUCCCUCCUUUAGCAGAGGAAGGCAGACUCUCCUUCUCCCUCAGUCCCUCCUUUAGCAGAGGAAGGCAGACUCUCCUUCUCCCUCAGUCCCUCCUUUAGCAGAGGAAGGCAGACUCUCCUUCUCCCUCAGUCCCUCCUUUAGCAGAGGAAGGCAGACUCUCCUUCUCCCUGGAUGCAAUCGUCACUUGUAAGGGCACAGUGGCAGUGGAGCCCCUGGGGCCACACAAAAUAAGUGUGUGUGUGUGUGUGUGUGUGUGUGUGUGUGUGUGUGUGCCUGCCUGUGUGUCUGGCCCUUGCCAAUCUACAUGGUGCCACAGGCUAAUAUUAGCCUCUACCAGGGGAGGGUGACAUAGGGAGCAGGAAGAGGGUGAAUGCCAGGGCUGGAGAAAGACAAAAUGGUUAACUAGGCUAACGAGGUGGAGAAAGACAAAAUGGUUAACUAGGCUAACGAGGUGGAGAAAGACAAAAUGGUUAACUAGGCUAACGAGGUGGAGAAAGACAAAAUGGUUAACUAGGCUAACGAGGUGGAGAAAGACAAAAUGGUUAACUAGGCUAACGAGGUGGAGAAAGACAAAAUGGUUAACUAGGCUAACGAGGUGGAGAAAGACAAAAUGGUUAACUAGGCUAACGAGGUGGAGAAAGACAAAAUGGUUAACUAGGCUAACGAGGUGGAGAAAGACAAAAUGGUUAACUAGGCUAACGAGGUGGAGAAAGACAAAAUGGUUAACUAGGCUAACGAGGUGGAGAAAGACAAAAUGGUUAACUAGGCUAACGAGGUGGUGAAAGACAAAAUGGUUAACUAGGCUAACGAGGUGGUGAAAGACAAAAUGGUUAACUAGGCUAACGAGGUGGUGAAAGACAAAAUGGUUAACUAGGCGGCUGACUGGUUGUAGUAGGUUCUCAAUAUUUUCCUAGCUCUUAGCCAUGGUUGUGUUGCAGGCAUAGAAAUGGAAUGUAGAGCUAAUUUUGUGGUGGUGGUGGUGGUGGUGGUGGUGGCGGCAGCAUCCUAGCAUGGGUUGGAUAAUGACGACAUCAUAGCUGGUGUAGGCUAUACUAACGGGUCUCUGAAAUGGUUCAUCGGUCUCUGCGAGGAGGUUCCUUGCCAAUUGCCACUCCUUGCUCCUCAGAUUGGAGAGCGUGGCAGUUGGGGAUGCUGACGGUGCUGGGGGUUUCCCUCAUGUGAACUCUUACGGCCUAGUAAAGGAAACAGACUUCCAAAAGGCUAACGUUGCCUACAGUCCAGAUUCAAAAACACCCGUCUGAAAAGAGACAAAACUUCGACUGAGUAAAGAGUCUGGUGGUUUUAGCCAACAAUCUAAAAAUCCAUUGAGGUCCAAAAACAACACAUUGAACAAGCCAUUUUUGCAAGGACAAAAACAUUAGAGAACAAAGGAUGUCAUUCUAACCAGAUGCUCUCCUGCUAUGUUCUCUUGGUAACGUCAAGCAUAUUAUUAAUGUCUAAUAAACAGCACUUGGCAGAACUCUUUCCCCCCUAUUAAAAGAGUACGUGUCCAAAAACAAUUCCCCUUUUCUCACCCGAGGAGCCGCCCCCACUCUUUUCACAAGAAAAAAAAAACUGCUACAGGAAUUAAAAUUGCAUUUUUUUUUUUUUAAGUCAAUACCAUUCAAGCUGUAUCCAACCGUUUUUUAUCCACUGUGUGUGCUGUAAAAGAUUGCAAAACAUGACAUGAUUCUGGUAUGGUAGGAGAGGACAGGACGUUGAAUGAAAUCAAAUGAGCAGACAGACAUGGGGAUUCACUUCGUGUUUUCUGAAUGAAACAUCCUGAAACGUAACGGUGGGGCAGAAAACGCUGACGCUGGUAGAAAGACGGCUGGUUCCCUUGGCGAUGCUGAAACUCGCUUGGCUUGAGGAGAGAGGGGGCACCACAAAACAGUACUUUCUGUGCUCUCUUUCCCCCUCUCUCUCUCUCUCUCUCUCUCUAGCCUGGGAGAGAGAGGAUUAAGCAAGGCCAACAACAACAGGGAACUUGGGCUUCGUUCAACCAUGACGCGAGGGUGUUUUUCAAAACCACACCGGCUUAUUUGCGUCGAGAAUUCUUCUGAUCUUG